GAAUGUAGCUGCAUUAUUUGAGUCAAAAAUAAAAUUGAUAAUAUAUAAUCCGAAUUGCAUUUUAAUUUUAUUCUUUACGCUGCACAUUUUAUGUCAUAAUCAAAAAGAAAACAAAGAAGACAUUGCUUUUUCUUUUUCAUGCUCUGCCCGCAAAAAAGUGUACAAUAUUCAAAAUGAAUUCGCAAUCCCAGCGGCGCAGGAGAGUGACGUCACGGCUUCUCCUGUUCUCCAGCUGCAGCCCAGAAACCCUGGAAAAUGCUCACGUUUUUUAAGGUGACAUCGUAUUUUGCCGAUUUCCCAAAGUCUGUUAGAAAAGGUCUGAUUUCCUACAACUCUAACAGAGUUCUAGAUGUCAACAUGAGACACAGACAGCAGCGUUUCUCUACACGGAGCGCUGGUGCCGGGCUGACUCCUCCUAUUCAGACACGUGUGUUUGUUUACAACCUAUGGAGCACGAAAUGCAAAGAGGAGCAACGUCGACCGACAAGCUUUGUACAUAGACGAGUUGCAUCAAGUCCAGGCAAGGGACACGCAGAAAUUCUACCCCUGUCGUUGUCCAGCGUGACAGUCUGACCGUCAACGCAUGCAUUUCCUGAAAAUGACUGCUGAGGAGCAGCAUGAGUCUCCAGAUGAGGAGGAGAUCAAUUAUUUGAGAAAAACAAUGUAAGUGAAUGUUUGUGAGUCUUUUUGUCUUGUUUUGUUUUACUCGUGUGUAAUUGGCAAAGUAUUCAAGGCACUUGCAAUGUCAAUGUCAAUGUCAAUGUCAAUUUUAUUUAUAAAGCACAUUUAAAAACGACCGAGGUCGACCAAAGUGCUGUACAGCAUACAAGAAAAUAAAACAAUACCAAAAGAAAAACACAGUACACAGUGUAGAAACAAUAAAAUCACUAACAUACUAAAAUGAUCAAUAAAAUAGUAAUAAAAAACAUAACAGUACACAUACAGUGCACAAUCACUUCACACAGAUGUGGGGAACUAAGUUGUCACACACUAAAAGCCAAAGAAAAUAAAUAAGUUUUCAAAGAAGACUUAAAAACCACUAGGGUCUGGGCAGAUCUAACAUUUAGUGGCAAACUAUUCCACAGCUUAGGGCC